UACGUAGGGGGCAAGCGUUGUCCGGAUUUAUUGGCGUAAAGAGCGUGUAGGCGGCCUUACAGGUCAGCUGUGAAAACUCGAGGCUCAACCUCGAGACGUCGGUUGAAACCGUAUGGCUAGAGUCCGGAAGAGGAGAGUGGAAUUCCCGGUGUAGCGGUGAAAUGCGUAGAUAUCGUAAGGAAGACCAGUGGCGAAGGCGGGUCUCUGGACAGUUCCUGACGCUGAGGCACGAAGGC
rnacentral:rRNA from 1 species